rnacentral:rRNA from 1 species
GGGUGACGAGUGGCGGACGGGUGAGUAAUGUCUGGGGAUCUGCCCGAUAGAGGGGGAUAACCACUGGAAACGGUGGCUAAUACCGCAUAACGUCGCAAGACCAAAGAGGGGGACCUUCGGGCCUCUCACUAUCGGAUGAACCCAGAUGGGAUUAGCUAGUAGGCGGGGUAAUGGCCCACCUAGGCGACGAUCCCUAGCUGGUCUGAGAGGAUGACCAGCCACACUGGAACUGAGACACGGUCCAGACUCCUACGGGAGGCAGCAGUGGGGAAUAUUGCACAAUGGGCGCAAGCCUGAUGCAGCCAUGCCGCGUGUAUGAAGAAGGCCUUCGGG